AUAUUGAUCGCUAGAUGUCACGAGUAUUGUUGAUAGGGGAAAAAUGACCAAUCGAGGUGCUAGCAAACUGGAGUUGCUGCAGCUAAUGGCCAGAGCUCCCAGUUAGCUAAAAUGCCAGUUGUGGGGGCAUGUUCUGAAGAGUGUCUUUGUGCCUCUUAACAGACACAAAAUGCAAUUAAAAUGUCUUUCAAC